ACCACAUUGAAACAUUGGUCCCUGUUCGAUCAGCGAAGUUAAGCAACAUCGAGUUUGGUCAGUACAUAGAUGGGUGACCGCUUGGGAAUACCAGGUGCUGUAA